UAUAAAGCCUCUCUCUUCUACCAACAAAACCCAUUUUCUCUUCCUCUCCAAAACCCACGGCCAUAAAACCCACAAAACCUACCCACAACCCCCAUUGCUUGGAAGAAGCCAUGCCGAAGAAGCCCCAUGGAAGCUAUGGUCCGUAAAGCCAAAGCCACCUCCAAGAAACUCCCGUAAAAAUCGUUUCUCUCUAGGUUUUGGGUUUUGGUGCUUUUGGAAAAACCACACUUAAUUACUUCCUAAGGAAAUGUCACAUCGAAGAGGAAAAGUACAAAUAGUGUCUCCAGAAGAUGAGUUGGAUAAUCUACAACAACUCUUAGACAUACAACCUGCUGCAACUACUACUCCUAGUAGUUCUGAUCCUGUUGAUUCUUCAGAUCCUUCUGUUGUUGGUUCAUCCUCUAGCAAAAAGAGGACACGUGGCCUAACACAUAACUUAGAUUUACUUAGUAUGAAACCCGGGGAAAAAAAACUACACGAUUCAAUACCAGAGGGCAAGUUGUUUAUGAUGGAAAAAGGGAAAGAUUGUCAAGCUAUAUGGGAACAUUGGUGCGAUCUCAACACAAUGUAGCCAUCCAAGUUCAAGAUUGGAAUCAUGUUAGUGAAGAUGUGAAAGAAAAGAUUUGUGCCUUAGUAUUGGUAUAUGCUAGUUACUAUUCAAUCUAAAUUGUAAUGUUAUUGUUUAAAAAUGAUACCUCUUAUUUAAACAUGACAUUUUAAUGCAAUACAGGAAAAAUAUGAACUAGAAGAAACAUGUAAGAGCUACAUUCUUCAAUGUUGUGGAAAUUUGUUUAGAAGCUAUAGAAAUAAAAUGAAGGCUAAGUAUUAUAACCCUUAUAAUACAGAUGAGGAGAGAUUGUGCCAUCGACCUCCACACUUAUCGGAUGAUGAUUGGAGGUGGCUCAUCCACUUUUAGGGUACACC